UGUCGUUGCCCUCCUUGGGCGUUUCCUCCCUAGACUUGGGCCGUCCAUACCCUGGACGGCCCUUUUUUUGUCGGGU
rnacentral:sRNA from 1 species